AGCGAACGCUGGCGGCAGGCUUAACACAUGCAAGUCGAGCGCCCCGCAAGGGGAGCGGCAGACGGGCGAGUAACACGUGGGAACGUACCCUUUGGUUCGGAACAACCCAGGGAAACUUGGGCUAAUACCGGAUACGUCCGUAAGGAGAAAGAUUUAUCGCCAAAGGAUCGGCCCGCGUCUGAUUAGCUAGUUGGUGAGGUAAUGGCUCACCAAGGCUACGAUCAGUAGCUGGUCUGAGAGGAUGAUCAGCCACAUUGGGACUGAGACACGGCCCAAACUCCUACGGGAGGCAGCAGUGGGGAAUAUUGGACAAUGGGGGCAACCCUGAUCCAGCCAUGCCGCGUGAGUGAUGAAGGCCCUAGGGUUGUAAAGCUCUUUUAGCAGGGAAGAUAAUGACGGUACCUGCAGAAAAAGCCCCGGCUAACUUCGUGCCAGCAGCCGCCGUAA
rnacentral:rRNA from 1 species